rnacentral:rRNA from 1 species
CGGACGGGUGAGUAAUGUCUGGGAAACUGCCUGAUGGAGGGGGAUAACUACUGGAAACGGUAGCUAAUACCGCAUAACGUCGCAAGACCAAAGAGGGGGACCUUCGGGCCUCUUGCCAUCGGAUGCGCCCAGAUGGGAUUAGCUAGUAGGUGGGGUAACGGCUCACCUAGGCGACGAUCCCUAGCUGGUCUGAGAGGAUGACCAGCCACACUGGAACUGAGACACGGUCCAG